AAUGAACGCUGGCGGCGUGCCUAACACAUGCAAGUCGUACGAGAAGUCCCGAGCUUGCUUGGGAGAGUAAAGUGGCGCACGGGUGAGUAACGCGUGGGUAACCCACCUUCGAAUCUGGGAUAACUCCGCGAAAGCGGUGCUAAUACCGGAUAAGACCACAGCCGUUUCGGCGGCAGAGGUAAAAGCUGACCUCUCCAUGGAAGUUAGCGUUCGAGGACGGGCCCGCGUCCUAUCAGCUUGUUGGUGGGGUAAAAGCCUACCAAGGCAGCGACGGGUAGCUGGUCUGAGAGGAUGAUCAGCCACACUGGAACUGGAACACGGUCCAGACUCCUACGGGAGGCAGCAGUGAGGAAUUUUGCGCAAUGGGGGAAACCCUGACGCAGCAACGCCGCGUGGGUGAAGAAGGCUUUCGGGUCGUAAAGCCCUGUCAGGUGGGAAGAACCGUUUCGAUACUAAUAAUGUCGAAGCCUGACGGUACCACCAGAGGAAGCACCGGCCAACUCCGUG
rnacentral:rRNA from 1 species